AUGCUGCUUCUGUCCUGCAGGUUUCUUCAUAUUUGUGUUCCACUGUGCGGUGAAGGAGAACGUGAGGAGGCAGUGGAGGACCUACCUGUGCUGCGGCAAGAUGAGGCUAGCAGAGAACUCAGAAUGGAGCCGCACCGCAACACAGAAGACCAUGAAGAAGGCAUCAGUGACCAGACUGACAUCUCUUAAUUCCUCAAAUUCCAACAACUCGUCCGGCUCCUCGUCGUUCCUCGUCAGUGAAUCUUCAGAGCAGAUUAACGGCAUCGGUGAGUGACGGCAGACCGUCAUUGCGAUUGAGUCACAGCCACUUAAUAGUGAGAUGUUUAGUUACUCUUAAUUAAUUUGAAGAUUAGACUGUUGGUACAAGAAGCAGACAAAGGUUUACUCAAUCUGCCUAAAGCUGUUGCAGCUCUUAGAAUACAUGUGUCUGUACCUUGGUUUUCGUGCGAUGGUCUGAUAUGUCAUGAAUUUACCCAGUGGUGCUGUUGCAGGAAGUCCAUUUGACGACAGAACGAUCACAGCUGAUGAAGACCCCAGUUCGGAUGUGGUCCUCAACGAGAUCAACAGGCAGUACAGAAACCAGCAAGCGCCCUGAUCCCAAAGAGGACAGAACAGACAGUUAAAUGGCUUUUAUUUUGAAAUACUUGUAUAUAAUGUAAAUUGAAGUAAUUUAUCUACUGUCCAUGUAACAUGUAUUAUAUGACUUGAAAUGCAAAUGCAAAGGAAAGCCUCCAUUAUACAUGACACGUAAUGUUUGGAACUUUCCUACAAUCAUGCUUUUUAUAUGCGUAUGAGCUUAUAAGCUUUGCACUGAAAUGCUAUCAAUAUGUGUUCAUAUUCUAAUGGUAUGUUGCAUACACUGAUGCUGACCCAACAGACUGAUACCAGUCAAGUCUUAUAAGUGGUUAAUUCAAUAUUGUACAACUUCACAAACUAGUCUGACCAUAGACUAGGAGUGACCAAACUUUUCCCAUGAAGGGGAACUGGAACUUAAAAACAUGUAUUGUAUUGAUUAGAUGCAAAAUGGUUCCUCGGUAUCACCAGUUCCCUCAAUUGUCUGACUUCCUGCACAGUGUCACUCUGCCGGCCAUGCUCAGACUGUGUCAUAUUUAUUAAAUAGGGAGCCAACAUAUUUAGAGAUCAUUUUGCCUCACACAAAAAGAAAAAAAAAAUGAAAGAGCAUAAACAUUAUUAGGAUUUUUAACAAAAGUUAACCUCAUGACCGGCCAACUUCGGUCCAUGAACCCACUUUGGGCAGCCAUAAUACGGCUGCAACAGUAGUGCAAAAAUAAAAAAAAAGAAUCGUGUCAUACAGAAUAAAAACAUCCACUUGCCUAAACAGUACAAAUAAUAAAAUGUAUAAUAUUGUUUCAAGUACACUUUAUUAAAAUGUCUUAUUGUUUGGAUGUUCUUGCCGACGUUAGGCCAACAAAUAAGCUAUGACGGUUUCAAGAGGAAACUAUAAAACAUAAAUAAAGGGCUAAAAACCCACUUUAUAAGACAGCAUUUAGCACAAUUUAUUGAGGAAACAGACUAGUGCUUUGCAUGUCAGCAUGCUAAUAUUGCAGCAUGAGGUUGACAUUAAUUUGGAAAUCAGAGGUAUCCUGUCUAUCAGGUGUGCGGUGAAAAAGUGAAGACUUCAGUAUUAGCUGAGAAGUGAGUGGAAUAGCAAAAGUCUUCAGUCUUUACUGGCUGUUGUGUUAGGGUGAGUAGCUAUAGGAGCUGGCUUGCAUCAAGUAGCUUUUGUAAGAGGUGUUUGGUCUGUGAACCCAGAAGAGAACUGUGUCUGUCACUGUAAUGUGUCAUGCAAUUACAAUGUUUUAAGCAAGGUUUUGCAUUAUUCAGUCACGUGGUUCUAUCGUUGCACGGAAAAAGGCUCUGAUUGACACAGCUCUUAAGAGAUCCAAGCAGCAAUGCUGGGGGAAAAAAGUCUCCACUGAUCCAACACAGAGGUUACGUCCCCAUUUAAUCAUAAAUUAAGACCCUGACGGCUGUUUUAAAUCAUUCUAGCUAAUUAGCCCUCUGCUAAAGUCAAAUGUGGGUAAAGCUAUGCUGGGAAUUAAAUUAGGUUGUGGCCAGACAAACAUCGAUUAGGUGCCACAGCCCAUUUUCAAAACAGACAUGUUUACUUUUAGUUGAAGAAAGAGCACAGUCAGUAAUUAAGUCUCCGUUCUACUUAAAACCACAACUGUGUGACAAUGGGCUGAGAUGUACGAUACAGAACAUUGAAACAGAGGCGGGACUCAUUUAUUUACGUGUGCUUUUCCUGCUGUGACAUGUGAAAAUACCCUCUGUGGCAAAGGCCCAUUCGUCCUGAAGCAAGACGCCAAUCACAGUCUACACUUGCCUGCCAACACACCUGAGAGGAUGUCUAAUCAGCUAAAAUAAGUGAGAACACCUGGGAUGGUGCACCAGGGGUGUGGGUGUGUAGGAAGUCUUCAUCCAAACCAAACACCUUGCACCGAGGUUGUAAU
ensembl:lncRNA